GAGUAAUUUGCUUAUAUAUCUACUACAUACGACAUUAAAGAGGGCAGGUAAAACAAGAAGCUAUGUUAUUGAAUUGGUGAGUUGUUACAAAAAAAAGGAGGGAACACUUAUUGCACAGUUGAAUAAUAAAUUGAGGCAGAUGUUAGAUAUGGAAACUACCCUUUAAUGAAGUUCAUAGGAUUUUGUAUAUACAAAGAUUGGCAUUGUUUUUAGAUCCUAAUAAUUAUAUGAGUAAGUGAAGAAAUGGAAGUACCUGCACAACAACGGAUGUCGAAAUAUGAUCGUUUCAAGAAACGCCAUGACGAAAAAGGCUGCUUCUACGCCUUUUUGUUCGCCUUGUGUUGUUGCCGUUGCUGCUAUGAAGGCUGCGAGUGUUGCUGUUGUUGCAGUAGUUGAAUCGGAACGAAGAUUGAAUCUGUUUCUGGGUUUAUAACUUUAUGAUUUUCCACUCACUGUUUCUGUAUAUUACCAUCUUCUACUGUAUUAUUUCAUGUAAUUAGUGAGAUUUCUUGAUAUUCAAGUUAUGUUUGUAAAAACCCUGAUCUCAGUCUUCAACUCCUAAAAAUAUUCUUCAAUCUA